GACGAACCGAGCGAACGUUAUUCGGAAUCACUGGGCUUAAAGGGCGCGUAGGCGGGCGAUCAAGUCAGGGGGUGAAAAGCCCCCCAGCUCAACUGGGGAAGUGCCCUUUGAUACUGGUCGUCUCGAGGGGGGAUAGGGGCGUGCGGAACUUCCGGUGGAGCGGUGAAAUGCGUAGAUAUCGGAAGGAACACCGGUGGCGAAAGCGGCGCGCUGGAUCCCUUCUCGACGCUGAGGCGCGAAAGCCAG
rnacentral:rRNA from 1 species